rnacentral:rRNA from 1 species
UGGGGAAUUUUGGACAAUGGGCGAAAGCCUGAUCCAGCAAUGCCGCGUGUGUGAAGAAGGCCUUCGGGUUGUAAAGCACUUUUGUCCGGAAAGAAAUCCUUGGCUCUAAUACAGUCGGGGGAUGACGGUACCGGAAGAAUAAGCACCGGCUAACUACGUGCCAGCAGCCGCGGUAAUACGUAGGGUGCAAGCGUUAAUCGGAAUUACUGGGCGUAAAGCGUGCGCAGGCGGUUUGCUAAGACCGAAUGUGAAAUCCCCGGGCUCAACCUGGGAACUGCAUUGGUGACUGGCAGGCUAGAGUAUGGCAGGAGGGGGGUAGAAUUCCACGUGUAGCAGUGAAAUGCGUAGAGAUGUGGAGGAAUACCGAUGGCGAAGGCAGCCCCCUGGGCCAAAUACUGACGCUCAUGCACG